rnacentral:rRNA from 1 species
UGGGGAAUAUUGCACAAUGGACGGAAGUUUGAUGCAGCGACGCCGCGUGGAGGGUGUAGGCCUUCGGGUUGUGAACUCCUUUUUCUCGCGAAAAAGGCACAGUUUUGGCUGUGUUGAUGGUAGGGGGGGAAGAAGCUCCGGCUAAAUACGUGCCAGCAGCCGCGGUAAUACGUAUGGAGCGAGCGUUGUCCGGAAUUAUUGGGCGUAAAGGGUGCGCAGGCGGCUUUACAAGUUGGAUGUGAAAUAUUGUGGCUCAACCACAAACGUGCAUCCAAAACUGCAAAGCUUGAGUUAAGGAGAGGUAAGUGGAAUUCCUGGUGUAGCGGUGGAAUGCGUAGAUAUCAGGAGGAAUACCGGUGGCGAAGGCGACUUACUGGACUUAAACUGACGCUCAGGCACGAAAGCGUGGGGAGCAAACAGG